rnacentral:rRNA from 1 species
UGGGGAAUAUUGGACAAUGGGCGCAAGCCUGAUCCAGCAAUGCCGCGUGUGUGAAGAAGGCCUGAGGGUUGUAAAGCACUUUCAGAGGGGAGGAGGACUAUUAGGUUAAGAGCUAGAUAGUUGGACGUUACCCUCAGAAGCAGCACCGGCUAACUCCGUGCCAGCAGCCGCGGUAAUACGGGGGGUGCAAGCGUUAAUCGGAGUGACUGGGCGUAAAGGGCAUGUAGGCGGUUAUAUUAGUCUGAUGUAAAAGACCCGGGCUUAACCUGGGAUAUGCAUUGGAAACGGUAUAGCUAGAGUAUGGGAGAGGGAAGUGGAAUUUCCGGUGUAGCGGUGAAAUGCGUAGAUAUCAAGAGGAACACCUGAGGCGAAGGCGAGUUGCUAGGCUGACACUGACGCUGAGGUACGAAAGCUAGGGGAGCGAACGGGAUUAGAUACCCAAGUAGUCCCUGAGCGGGCUGGCAAGGCGCAU